rnacentral:rRNA from 1 species
UGGGGAAUAUUGGACAAUGGGCGCAAGCCUGAUCCAGCCAUGCCGCGUGAGUGACGAAGGUCUUCGGAUUGUAAAACUCUUUUGGCGGGGACGAUAAUGACGGUACCCGCAGAAUAAGCCCCGGCUAACUUCGUGCCAGCAGCCGCGGUAAUACGAAGGGGGCUAGCGUUGUUCGGAUUUACUGGGCGUAAAGGGCGCGUAGGCGGCAUGACAAGUCACUUGUGAAAUCUCUGGGCUUAACCCAGAACGGCCAAGUGAUACUGUCGCGCUAGAGUGCAGAAGGGGCAAUCGGAAUUCUUGGUGUAGCGGUGAAAUGCGUAGAUAUCAAGAGGAACACCUGAGGUGAAGACGGGUUGCUGGGCUGACACUGACGCUGAGGCGCGAAAGCCAGGGGAGCAAACGGGAUUAGAUACCCUCGUAGUCCCUGAGCGGGCUGGCAAGGCGCAU